GAACUGAAGAGUUUGAUCAUGGCUCAGAUUGAACGCUGGCGGCAGGCCUAACACAUGCAAGUCGAGCGGAUGAAGAGAGCUUGCUCUCUGAUUCAGCGGCGGACGGGUGAGUAAUGCCUAGGAAUCUGCCUGGUAGUGGGGGACAACGUUUCGAAAGGAACGCUAAUACCGCAUACGUCCUACGGGAGAAAGCAGGGGACCUUCGGGCCUUGCGCUAUCAGAUGAGCCUAGGUCGGAUUAGCUAGUUGGUGAGGUAAU
rnacentral:rRNA from 15 species